CACUAAUAUAACCCAACAAUGUUAAUAACAAAACAUGACCUAACACCAUAAACUAAACCAUUUUUUUACCUGAGUAUGGGAGACAGAAAAGGUUCAACCUAAAGCAAUAGAAAAAGUACCGCAAGGGAA
rnacentral:rRNA from 1 species